UACCCGCAGCUCAAGUGGUGGUCAUUAUUAUUGGGCCUAAAGCGUCCGUAGCUGGCCUGUUAGAUGCCUGGGUAAAUCGAUGCGCUCAACGUAUCGAAUUCCGGGUAGACCGGCAGGCUCGAGACCGGGAGAGGUGUAGGCUACUCUAGGGGUAGGGGUAAAAUCCUGUAAUCCUUCGGGGAGGACCAGUGGCGAAGGCGCUACACUAGAACGGCUCUGACAGUGAGGGACGAAGCCCUGGGGCGCAAACCGG
rnacentral:rRNA from 1 species